rnacentral:rRNA from 1 species
UUAAGUGGGAAACGAUGUGGGAAGGCCCAGACAGCCAGGAUGUUGGCUUAGAAGCAGCCAUCAUUUAAAGAAAGCGUAAUAGCUCACUGGUCGAGUCGGCCUGCGCGGAAGAUGUAACGGGGCUAAACCAUGCACCGAAGCUGCGGCAGCGACACUGUGUGUUGUUGGGUAGGGGAGCGUUCUGUAAGCCUGUGAAGGUGUGUCGUGAGGCAUGCUGGAGGUAUCAGAAGUGCGAAUGCUGACAUAAGUAACGAUAAAGCGGGUGAAAAGCCCGCUCGCCGGAAGACCAAGGGUUCCUGUCCAACGUUAAUCGGGGCAGGGUGAGUCGACCCCUAAGGCGAGGCCGAAAGGCGUAGUCGAUGGGAAACGGGUUAAUAUUCCCGUACUUGGUGUUACUGCGAAGGGGGGACGGAGAAGGCUAUGUUGGCCGGGCGACGGUUGUCCCGGUUUAAGCGUGUAGGUGUGUGUUCCAGGUAAAUCCGGUUCACUUUAACACUGAGGCGUGACGACGAGGCACUACGGUGCUGAAGCAACAAAUGCCCUGCUUCCAGGAAAAGCCUCUAAGCAUCAGGUAACAUCAAAUCGUACCCCAAACCGACACAGGUGGUCAGGUAGAGAAUACCAAGGCGCUUGAGAGAACUCGGGUGAAGGAACUAGGCAAAAUGGUGCCGUAACUUCGGGAGAAGGCACGCUGACACGUAGGUGAAGUGAUUUACUCAUGGAGCUGAAGUCAGUCGAAGAUACCAGCUGGCUGCAACUGUUUAUUAAAAACACAGCACUGUGCAAACACGAAAGUGGACGUAUACGGUGUGACGCCUGCCCGGUGCCGGAAGGUUAAUUGAUGGGGUCAGCGCAAGCGAAGCUCCUGAUCGAAGCCCCGGUAAACGGCGGCCGUAACUAUAACGGUCCUAAGGUAGCGAAAUUCCUUGUCGGGUAAGUUCCGACCUGCACGAAUGGCGUAAUGAUGGCCAGGCUGUCUCCACCCGAGACUCAGUGAAAUUGAACUCGCUGUGAAGAUGCAGUGUACCCGCGGCAAGACGGAAAGACCCCGUGAACCUUUACUAUAGCUUGACACUGAACAUUGAGCCUUGAUGUGUAGGAUAGGUGGGAGGCUUUGAAGUGUGGACGCCAGUCUGCAUGGAGCCGACCUUGAAAUACCACCCUUUAAUGUUUGAUGUUCUAACGUGGACCCGUUACCCGGGUUGCGGACAGUGUCUGGUGGGUAGUUUGACUGGGGCGGUCUCCUCC